UCGGGAAUUUUGGGCAAUGGGGGAAACCCUGACCCAGCAACGCCGCGUGAAGGAUGAAGUAUCUCGGUAUGUAAACUUCGAAAGAAUAGGAAGAAUAAAUGACGGUACUAUUUAUAAGGUCCGGCUAACUACGUGCCAGCAGCCGCGGUAAUACGUAGGGACCAAGCGUUGUUCGGAUUUACUGGGCGUAAAGGGCGCGUAGGCGGCAUGACAAGUCACUUGUGAAAUCUCUGGGCUUAACCCAGAACGGCCAAGUGAUACUGUCGCGCUAGAGUGCAGAAGGGGCAAUCGGAAUUCUUGGUGUAGCGGUGAAAUGCGUAGAUAUCAAGAGGAACACCUGAGGUGAAGACGGGUUGCUGGGCUGACACUGACGCUGAGGCGCGAAAGCCAGGGGAGCAAACGGGAUUAGAUACCCCCGUAGUCCCUGAGCGGGCUGGCAAGGCGCAU
rnacentral:rRNA from 1 species